ensembl:lncRNA
GCGAAGUUCUUCAAAGCUGAUACAAUAUUACUGUUACUAUCUUCAAUGUGCCCCUGGUUCUGCUUAUUUCACUUUGUGUCAGUUAAUUUAAGUCUUACCAGGUUUUUUCCCUAAAAAAAUCAUGAAUUCAUAAUUUCUGAUAGCCCAAAGCCCCAUUUUAUAGUUGAAGAGCCUAUAAGCACAUGAGAUGAGACAAGCUGAGGCAGGAGCACUCAGCUGAAAGUCAGCUGAGUCUGAUUCCUCCCAAUGUUAACAGGAGGCUUCCCAUCAGCUGUAUCUAAUUCCUGCUGGGUCUACUGUGGCAGAUGAAGGAGUGAUUCCGCCCAGUGAACUGUGGAGUUAGGUUUCCCAUCCAGAAGCCAAGUGAAAAGCCCUAAUACCUAAGACAAGCUGAGCUUUACUGAGAGAAGUUCCUAGUGAUUCCCACAGCGAUCUCUGGUUACAAGCCCUGCUCACUCAAAAGAAAGAGCCAUCUCCUGCUGGGCCUUCUAGGUUCCCAUUAAUGAACAGAUGUGUCUUCUCCUGCUAUGGAAGAUAUGUAGGGGGAAAUGGGCUUGCCCUAUCAGCCCCCUGCAGCUUGGGAUACAAGGAUGGAAAUCAGUGGAAAUGAAGGCUUGUGAGCAGGAAUCUAAGAAGAUGUUGGAUCCAAACCCAUUCCAGGAAUCAGAAAGCAGCCAUGGAGGCUAUACAGACAAAAGCCACAAGUCAGUUUAACCAAAACAGAUCCACUCACGGGCCCCUGUGUGAGGACGUGGACUUCGUGGCACCCCAGUAUUUCUCUCCAUCUCUGAGGACAGGCAGAAGGGCACGCUUCAUCAUGAAUGCUCUGAAGUCACAAAUGGUCACUGAAUGCAGAAUCAAAUCCCAACGUUCUGAUGUCUUUCAAAGGACCGCUUCAUCCCAGCAGGACUCGGUGGGAGGGAGGGAAAAUGGGUGGCAAGAUCAGUGAAAUGAGAAGGACUCUCUCUGUGGGCAGAAAAGACUGAACUCAAAUGCUCCCACAGCAUGUGGGUCUCUCUAUAAUAGGCUGAUUUUAAAUUGAAUUACUGUACUCACGGAAGUCACCUGUGAGUCCUUUCAUUUCAAAUCAUCCUAAUUGUCCAACAGGGCCCAGAACAUUUAGCAACCCACACUUUUUUUUUUAGUUAACUAGCCUGUAGCAAAUAUCACACAAAUGAUCCAAUAAGGGAAAAUCAGUGAUAUUUACUGCUGGCCUGCCCCUAAGUGGUAACUGGCCUCAGACACGCAGAGACACAGCUAAUUAGAAGAGAUUGCCUUAAACAACGAAGAAGCCAUUCAAAGGAGCAGUUGGGCUCGGGGAAUUACCCGAUAUUGGGAGCUGGCACCCCCAGAUCCUGGAAAAGACAAGCAGACAGGCAGGCCAGGCAGGCCCCGGUGACAGGCGUGUUUUCUUUUUCUUUCUCGUCCCUAAACAAUAUGGUAGACACCCAUCAUCAUAAUAGAAUAACGACACUAGCUAAUUUCCCGAGGCUUCAAUCUCAGCAGGGGAGAAUAUAAUAUUGCAAGCUAGCAGAACCCAACCUGGUGGUGAGAUACAGUAGUCCUCUUUUACAUUACAUUAAAUGUUACUAUUUCUGAAGGGACUAUCUGUGGAUGCCCGGGGUAACCCAUAGCAACCAGCUAAUAAAUUGUAACUUGCACUGCCUCA